CAACACACCUGUAUACCCAACAGAAGGAUGCAAUGUCACAAUAUUGAUCUGAAUUAAUUUCUCAACACGAACAACGUCAGAGUGGCGUUCACUAUUUAAGAAAGAGACUCCAGUCCAAGCUUUAUCAAACUCAUCCAGCUGUGGACUCGAUCAACUGCUGGAACAAUACACAACUGAACAGUAAUCAAGUGAAAUCAUGAUGAAGAUACUGGUACUGCUUGGAUGUCUCCUGAGUCUGGCUCUGGCUCUUCCAGUGGACGAAGUGCAUGAGAGAAUUGCUCGUUCUUCCUCUGACUCCAAUUCCAGAGAGAUGGGGCGGUAUCCGUCAUACUACCCAUCGUAUCCCAGGUUCCCCCCACCACCACCACCACCACCACAGAACCAGCCCAACCUAUUGG